rnacentral:snRNA from 1 species
AUACCUUUCUCGGCCUUUUGGCUAAGAUCAAGUGUAGUAUCUGUUCUUAUCAGUUUAAUAUCUGAUAUGUGAACCAUUGGUUCACACGAUAUUAAAUUUAUUUUUCAAGGGAGAAGGCCAACUGCAGUAGCUUGCUACUGAGGCUUUUGAAGCAUUGUCUUUGCUUUGCACUACAGCAAAAGACUAGUGCAUCCCAC